GCUCAGGAUGAACGCUGGCGGCGUGCCUAAUACAUGCAAGUCGAGCGAACAGAUGAGAAGCUUGCUUCUCUGAUGUUAGCGGCGGACGGGUGAGUAACACGUGGGUAACCUACCUAUAAGACUGGGAUAACUCCGGGAAACCGGGGCUAAUACCUGAUAAUAUUUUGAACCGCAUGGUUCAAUAGUGAAAGACGGCUUCGGCUGUCACUUAUAGAUGGACCCGCGCCGUAUUAGCUAGUUGGUAAGGUAAUGGCUUACCAAGGCAACGAUACGUAGCCGACCUGAGAGGGUGAUCGGCCACACUGGAACUGAGACACGGUCCAGACUCCUACGGGAGGCAGCAGUAGGGAAUCUUCCGCAAUGGGCGAAAGCCUGACGGAGCAACGCCGCGUGAGUGAUGAAGGUCUUAGGAUCGUAAAACUCUGUUGUUAGG
rnacentral:rRNA from 1 species